rnacentral:misc_RNA from 1 species
ACCGUACAGGAGGUCCAGCGG